ACAAGCAGCGGAGCGUGUGGUUUAAUUCGAUGCUACACGAAGAACCUUACCAGGGUUUGACAUACAAGUAGUAGGGAAAGGAAACUGGACCGACCCUUCGGGGAGCUUGAACAGGUGCUGCAUGGCUGUCGUCAGCUCGUGCGUGAGAUGUUCGGUUAAGUCCGCUAACGAGCGCAACCCUCGCUGUGUGUUACAAGUGUCACACGGAACUGCCGGUCAUAAACCGGAGGAAGGUGGGGAUGACGUCAAGUCAGCAUGGCCUUUAUAUCCUGGGCUACACACGCGCUACAAUGGGAAGGGACAAUAGGUUGCGAAGCCGCGAGGCGGAGCCAAUCCAGCAAAACUUCCCUCAGUUCAGAUUGCAGGCUGCAACUCGCCUGCAUGAAGUUGGAGUUGCUAGUAAACGCAGGUCAGCCAUACUGCGUUGAAUACGUUCCCGGGGCUU
rnacentral:rRNA from 1 species